GGGAAGGGCCAAGCCAUCCGUGAGAGACCACCCUGGAAGGGCUAAGAUCCUAAACCGAUGCCCUAUGAUAGGCGUUGGAACCGUGCCAGGCAGACAGUUUCUCUGGGGCAGAGGCCUCCCAAAGAGUAAUGGAGGCGUGCAAAGGUUCCCUCAGGCUGGACGGGAAUCAGUUGUAGAGUGUAAAGGCAGAAGGGAGCUUGACUGCAAGACCAACAAGUCGAGCAGGGACGAAAGUCGGCCUUAGUGAUCCGACGGUGCCGCGUGGAAGGGCCGUCGCUUAUCGGAUAAAAGUUACUCUAG
rnacentral:rRNA from 1 species